AAAAGCUAUCUGAUUCAAAGACAGGAGCGCGCGCGAGCACGAGCAGAUGGAAACCAUGGAAACGAGGAAACCUCAUCAACUGACAAACAGCAAGACUAGCGUCUCUCACUGUUGUUUUCUCUGCUUUCAGAAGAUCAUCUGAUUGCCUGCUGCACCCCCUGUCCAAGACAAUCUCCACGGCUAUGAACUCGACUAGACAAGAUCUUGAUGCCAUCCACACUCAGUACAUAAGGAAGGUUUUCUGGGAUCCAUUAUAUUCAUGUUAAACCU